AUUUAUGUAUCUUAUAUUAGAGUUUAAUAUUGAAGCUAUUAAUGAAGAUGUUUAAUCUCAUAAAUA
rnacentral:tRNA from 1 species